rnacentral:rRNA from 1 species
CGUUAAUCGGAAUUACUGGGCGUAAAGCGCGCGUAGGUGGUUAGGUAAGCGAGAUGUGAAAGCCCCGGGCUUAACCUGGGAACGGCAUUUCGAACUGUCUGACUAGAGUAUGGUAGAGGGUAGUGGAAUUUCCUGUGUAGCGGUGAAAUGCGUAGAUAUAGGAAGGAACACCAGUGGCGAAGGCGGCUACCUGGACCAAUACUGACACUGAGGUGCGAAAGCGUGGGGAGCAAACAGGAUUAGAUACCCCGGUAGUCCACGCCGUAAACGAUGUCAACUAGCCGUUGGGGAUCUUGAAUCCUUAGUGGCGCAGCUAACGCACUAAGUUGACCGCCUGGGGAGUACGGCCGCAAGGUUAAAACUCAAAUGAAUUGACGGGGGCCCGCACAAGCGGUGGAGCAUGUGGUUUAAUCCGACGCAACGCGAAGAACCUUACCUGGCCUUGACAUCCUGCGAACUUUCUAGAGAUAGAUUGGUGCCUUCGGGAACGCAGUGACAGGUGCUGCAUGGCCGUCGUCAGCUCGUGUCGUGAGAUGUUGGGUUAAGUCCCGUAACGAGCGCAACCCCUAUCCCUAGUUGCUAGCAGUUCGGCUGAGAACUCUAGGGAGACUGCCGGUGACAAACCGGAGGAAGGUGGGGAUGACGUCAGGUCAUCAUGGCCCUUACGGCCAGGGCUACACACGUGCUACAAUGGUGCGCACAGAGGGCUGCAAACUCGCGAGAGUAAGCCAAUCUCUUAAAACGCAUCGUAGUCCGGAUCGCAGUCUGCAACUCGACUGCGUGAAGUCGGAAUCGCUAGUAAUCGCGAAUCAGAAUGUCGCGGUGAAUACGUUCCCGGGCCUUGUACACACCGCCCGUCACACCAUGGGAGUGGAUUGCACCAGAAG